GGUGACGGCUAACGCUGAUUGUUAUUUCGGAAGGAUUACCGGUGGCGAAGAUAUUUAGCACGAUAAAUUGUUACAAGUAAUGUAAAGAGUAUUGUUAGCGUUCGGCAGGACUUGAGGAGAUUCCUGGUAGGAAUACCGAUCGUUGUGAGAUAAACUAAUAGGCGCAGUCACCGCCCUAAAUACCGGCGCUAGCGGAAAACUCGUACAUUCCGCGAUCUAACUGCACGUACAUUCCGCGAUCUCACUGUGCCGUCCAGACGGUGCCCUAAUGUCUAUCACUUAGCUACCGGAUAUGCAUCGGUAGCCCCAUAAGGUUCUGGGGUAAGAUUUCCCCAUUAGUCAGGCG
rnacentral:lncRNA from 1 species